UCCCUGGUGGUCCAGUGGCUAAGACUCCACACUCCCAGUGCAGGGACCCAGGUGCAAUUCCUGGUCAGGGAG
rnacentral:tRNA from 1 species